rnacentral:rRNA from 1 species
GAUGUCGGCUCGUCGCAUCCUGGAGCUGGAGAAGGUUCCAAGGGUUGGGCUGUUCGCCCAUUAAAGCGGUACGCGAGCUGGGUUCAGAACGUCGUGAGACAGUUCGGUCCCUAUCUGUCGCGGGCGCAGGAUAUUUGAAGGGAUCUGUCCUUAGUACGAGAGGACCGGGAUGGACAAACCUCUGGUGCACCAGUUGUCACGCCAGUGGCACAGCUGGGUAGCCAAGUUUGGACGGGAUAAACGCUGAAGGCAUCUAAGCGUGAAACCCACCCUAAGAUGAGAUAUCCCACCGCAAGGGUAAGACCCCAUGUAGACUACAUGGUUGAUAGGUCAGGAGUGUAAGUACAGUAAUGUAUUAAGCUGACUGAUACUAAUAGGUCGAGGGCUUGACCAAG